GCGGAGGACAGAGUUCCAUCUCUUCGUUUCUUGCUUCUUCCUCUUCCUCUGUUGCUAGAGAGCAGGUGAGCUGCUCUUGCAAACAGUGGCCCAUGUCAAAUCACACCCACUCCUCUUCGAUUUUUUGUCACAAAAUGUCUAGGGUUACAAAAUUAACUAUCCUCUCUCUCUCUCUCUCAAUACUUCUGCCGUCCCUCUCUUUCUUCUCUUCCUCUCAGUAGCUUCUCUCUUUUCCAGUUCUUCCUCUCUUUUUUUUUUUCUCAAAAAAAAAAUACUCACGCUUCCAUUUGCUUUGGUUGGAAGAAAGUGUUCUUUCGAUGGGUGAUAAUACAGAAGAAGGAAAGGGUCUAAGAGAGAGCAGACAGUGUCAACGAAUGAAAGGAAGAUAAACCUGGUUCUUUUAUUUUUGGAAGGAAAAUUGACGGGAAGGAGGAAAAAAGAUUAAACUUUUCAAGAUCUGCAUUAGCUGCAUCAACAGUAUCCAUGUGGACCGUUGCUUAAAAUGAGGAGAAUUUUGGGUUUUUCAGCUGCUGCUAGAGUAAAACAUUAGAUAUAUGCCCUUGAAAGUAGACUGCAUCAUUUUGUUUUGGGAAUUUUAGCUGUGCUUCAGUUCUGCCGUUAGUUGCUCCUCUAUACGUAGAGAUAUCAUGCAAAAAGUCCAGCCUAAAUGGAUGUGUAAUCAACUACAAUCGCUGAUGUAUUCUAACUGACCAUAUAAUAAAUGUAAUGUUCAGCUGCUUAUCUUUUAAGAAUUUUGAGAUUCCUCUUGAAUUUGUUCAUGAGCGACUCAAAACAAAGACAUUUCUGGUGCAUAUCAAAUCAGUGCAAACACAAUUAGCAGAUGCAAGGCAGCACUACACAGUGAUAAAGUAUUCCGAAACUAAUGACAUUGCCACUUCUGUCCAGUUAGCAGCAAAUUGUAGGGAAACUCAUGACUGCAGGAGAAGCCAAUGGUUCUUCAAAAGUUUGCCUUCGACUUGCUGGAAAGUUUGAUGAUACAGAUAAUGUGGAAGGAGAUGACUCUUAAAAUACGUACAGCUACUCCACCAAGAAAACAAGAUUAAGCUGAAUUCAUAAUAUUCAACUUUUGUACCACUCGAACUUGAUAGUUUUUGCCUUCUUGUUUUGCCAUUCUAGAUUUGACAGAUUGCUUGGAACUUUUUGAAAGGAUUAUUGCUAUAUCUACGAACUGUGUACAUUUGUGUGUUGUUAUCCCUUAGACAACUUUUGUGGCAGAGGUUGAACUAUGUUUGGUCUCAACUCUAUAUCAAUUUUAGAUCUUUGUUCAGAAAA